AUUGAACGCUGGCGGCAUGCCUUACACAUGCAAGUCGAACGGCAGCACGGGAGCUUGCUCCUGGUGGCGAGUGGCGAACGGGUGAGUAAAGUAUCGGAACAUGCCCUGAAGUGGGGGAUAACGUAGCGAAAGUUACGCUAAUACCGCAUAUUCUGUGAGCAGGAAAGCAGGGGAUCGCAAGACCUUGCGCUUUAGGAGUGGCCGAUAUCGGAUUAGCUAGUUGGUGAGGUAAAGGCUCACCAAGGCGACGAUCCGUAGCGGGUCUGAGAGGAUGAUCCGCCACACUGGGACUGAGACACGGCCCAGACUCCUACGGGAGGCAGCAGUGGGGAAUUUUGGACAAUGGGCGCAAGCCUGAUCCAGCCAUGCCGCGUGAGUGAAGAAGGCC
rnacentral:rRNA from 1 species